rnacentral:rRNA from 1 species
UACGUAGGGUGCGAGCGUUGUCCGGAAUUAUUGGGCGUAAAGAGCUCGUAGGCGGUCUGUCGCGUCGGUCGUGAGAACUUGGGGCUUAACCCUGAGCUUGCGGUCGAUACGGGCAUGACUGGAGUUCGGCAGGGGAGACUGGAAUUCCUGGUGUAGCGGUGAAAUGCGCAGAUAUCAGGAGGAACACCGGUGGCGAAGGCGGGUCUCUGGGCCGAUACUGACGCUGAGGAGCGAAAGCGUGGGGAGCGAACAGG